rnacentral:rRNA from 1 species
GAGACCUCAGGUCAGGCGAGGCCACCCGCUGAGUUUAAGCAUAUCAAUAAGCGGAGGAAAAG